rnacentral:rRNA from 1 species
GACGAACGCUGGCGGCGUGCCUAAUACAUGCAAGUAGGACGCACAGUCUAUACCGUAGCUUGCUACACCAUAGGCUUGUGAGUUGCGAACGGGUGAGUAACGCGUAGGUAACCUGCCUAUUAGAGGGGGAUAACUAUUGGAAACGAUAGCUAAUACCGCAUAACAGUAUGUAACACAUGUUAGAUGCUUGAAAGAUGCAAUUGCAUCGCUAGUAGAUGGACCUGCGUUGUAUUAGCUAGUAGGUAGGGUAAAGGCCUACCUAGGCAACGAUACAUAGCCGACCUGAGAGGGUGAUCGGCCACACUGGGACUGAGACACGGCCCAGACUCCUACGGGAGGCAGCAGUAGGGAAUCUUCGGCAAUGGGGGGAACCCUGACCGAGCAACGCCGCGUGAGUGAAGAAGGUUUUCGGAUCGUAAAGCUCUGUUGUUAAGGAAGAACGAGUGUGAGAAUGGAAAGUUCAUGCUGUGACGGUACUUAACCAGAAAGGGACGGCUAA